GAUGAACGCUGGCGGCGUACCUAAUACAUGCAAGUCGAGCGAACAGGCGAGGAGCUUGCUCCUCUGACGUUAGCGGCGGACGGGUGAGUAACACGUGGAUAACCUACCUAUAAGACUGGGAUAACUUCGGGAAACCGGAGCUAAUACCGGAUAAUAUAUUGAACCGCAUGGUUCAAUAGUGAAAGACGGUUUUGCUGUCACUUAUAGAUGGAUCCGCGCCGCAUUAGCUAGUUGGUAAGGUAACGGCUUACCAAGGCAACGAUGCGUAGCCGACCUGAGAGGGUGAUCGGCCACACUGGAACUGAGACACGGUCCAGACUCCUACGGGAGGCAGCAGUAGGGAAUCUUCCGCAAUGGGCGAAAGCUUGACGGAGCAACGCCGCGUGAGUGAUGAAGGUCUUCGGAUCGUAAAACUCUGUUAUUAGGGAAGAACAAAUGUGUAAGUAACUAUGCACGUCUUGACGGUACCUAAUCAGAAAGCCACGGCUAACUACGUG
rnacentral:rRNA from 1 species